UACGUAGGGUGCAAGCGUUAAUCGGAAUUACUGGGCGUAAAGCGUGCGCAGGCGGCUUUGCAAGACAGAUGUGAAAUCCCCAGGCUUAACCUGGGAACUGCAUCCGAUACUGGAUGGCUUGAAUCCGGGAGAGGGAUGCAGAAUUCCAGGUGUAGCGGUGAAAUGCGUAGAUAUCUGGAGGAAUACCGGUGGCGAAGGCGGCAUCCUGGACCGGCAUUGACGCUGAGGAGCGAAAGCCAGGGGAGCAAACGGG
rnacentral:rRNA from 1 species